ACUCAGUGAAAUUGAACUCGCUGUGAAGAUGCAGUGUACCCGCGGCAAGACGGAAAGACCCCGUGAACCUUUACUAUAGCUUGACACUGAACAUUGAGCCUUGAUGUGUAGGAUAGGUGGGAGGCUUUGAAGUGUGGACGCCAGUCUGCAUGGAGCCGACCUUGAAAUACCACCCUUUAAUGUUUGAUGUUCUAACGUUGACCCG
rnacentral:rRNA from 1 species